UGUGCUUGGCUUCUUGCUAGCCAUCACAAGCUGAGGGUUCGGUUCGGGGAAGAGGAGAUGAAGUACAGUGCCUUUACUUCCAUCUGACAGCGAGGUCCUCUUUUUCUCCACAAAAGAACAAUGUUGGGAGAAGUGCUACAUAGCAGCACUGCAGCAUCGUGCAAGAUUUCUCAUGGUUUGUGAGAGUAAUAGGUGGAGGAUGUCAGCAUCGCCCUUCGCUGGGCAGAAUUGUGCAUAGAAUCACAUAAAUGUGGCUGGGCAAGAGGAUAAAAGCUUGAAUGCUAUGUACAGCUUAUGCGAUUUCUUGGAUAGAAGACCUGCUUUGGGGAGCUUUUGAGUGAAGGGAGAAUGUAAUGGCCCGGGACUGUUUUGUGCAAAUAAUGGAGAGAAGGGUCACUGCUGCAAGGAACUCACAGGCAGGGAAUUUGGGUUCUUGGGCUGCUGGUGGUACUGUGGAGGUGACUCAAAAAACCUCAGCCAAAUGCUUAAGAAAUCGGGUUUAUUUUUUCUGUUUAGGGAAUUCAUAAAUCUGUUUUCCACUGGUUCGGCUUUUGAUAUUCAGUCUGUCUUAAACCCAUAGAAAUAGCCACCCUUGCUGUUUGCAGUUGGGAAAUGAAUCCUCCUGUCAAUUACCAUCCUCUGACAAGCCCUUAAUUGGGAAAGUGUUUCUGGGUCCCUGGUGGGGACCUGGCAUUUGACUAGCCUGGUUUGCACAAACUGUUACCUGGCUUGCUUGCAACAACCAGAAAAGGUUUGGGGGAUGGUUGUGUUCUGCUUGGUUUCCUUCUGUGAGCGCUACUCCUCUCCCCUCCCUAUUCCUAGUCAUGUUCAGACUGAUUUCAUAGUUUACCUUGGCUGUAGCUUGAUGGCUGGGGAGACCAGGAGAGCCCGCAGGAGCUGCGUGGCCAGGACGCACAGCCUGUGGUCUGAUUUCAACCCUUUUAGGUCCCGUCGCAUGUGGGUAGGUGGGCUUUGGUUUUAUCUGUCUUUCCAAGAAGACAAGUUGAAAUCAUCUCUGAUUUCACUGUGUCUUAAUUACAAAACUCGCUAAGGCUGGAGCCAAAGGAUUGAAUUACCAGUUCAGCCUUCCAUCCUCCAAGGUAUUUUUUCCUAGCUGAAAUUAAACAGAUGCUAAAUAAUAAACAGGCCUCAACGACUUUGCAACUUAAUGCCUUUCUUUCUGAGAAUGAGAGCCUCCUGUUUCUCAACAUCAUUAUUCUUAACAGCCACCCUAAGGCAGACCACAAAGUUUUUAUGGGUUUGCUGGGUGGUUUUUACGGGGGCUUUGCGGCAGGGAGUGAGUGCAUUGGCUCCAGCUGUCCUGCCUGGCUGGACACUGUGCACGGCACUUGCACAGCUGGUUGCUGUGGGGUCUGCCCCCCUCAGAGGUGGUGGGCAAGGUGAAAAUACAGGAUCUUCUACAGAAUAGGUCAGAUGUAGCUUGCUGUCACGCUGGAAAUCUGUGUCCGAGGUCCCUCUGAGAGACUCUGUCAGGGUAGACAAAAGCAGGGUUGUUGUUGCUUAAGUUAACAAAGGCACCUCACUUCACUCUGCAAGGAGCCAACCAGUCGAGUUGUGUCAGAAGGAAGAAGUCUCCAUCAGACGUGUCUCUUGCUCUCCCCAGUUCUCCACAUCUCCUUCCCUGUGCAGACCGGCUGUGGGACCACCUUUCUGCGGGCAGUGGUUGCCAGCCAGCCUUUGGAGCAGGGGCUGGUGCAGCGAAGUUGGGUGGCAGGUAAGGGUGUAGCAUUGGGUAGCACAGAGAUGUGCUGAUGGAGGAGCUGGAGCCCUCAUCACCCCCGUCCGUGGUUUUCUUUUUCUUCCCAAGCUUGCCUGGGCCAUGGCAAGCUUCCCAAUGAUCUUAUGCAAGCCCUUGCAUUGAUUUGUCCCAUGCUCCCCACCACUGCUCCCCCGUGGGUAAGCUACAGGAGCAAGUGUGUGGAGCGUGGCUCGGUGGUGCUGUGUGUGAGCUUGGUGGUGGCGGGCAGGAGGUGGGCAGCUUCCCGUGACUCACCGCCGCCUGCUUGACUUUUCACUUUCUCCUCCCCUGAGACAUGCACUUUCGGUGUUGUUUUUGGCUGGGGCAGACCAGGUGCUCUCCCUCCCUCUGUGCAGGGUUUGCUUUCUUCCUUCCCACCCCUGAAGGCAGUUGGUAAUCCCUGAUUUACCACCGCUGGCUCUGUGGAGCUGAAAUGCCACUGUGCCAUGUAGAAUACAGCUGUUCAAGCCAAACUGCCUACUCAGCAGAGCUCAUUUCCGUUGGUAAUUUAUUGACACUCGUCCAGCUGUACAUAAUAGACAAUGGAAAAAGGCUGCCAAGGGAAGGCUUGGCUGGUUGUUUACUCAGGAUUAUCUGUGCUCCCCUGUUCCCAUUGCCUCCCGUACUAACACCUGGAGGCCCAUGUUGCAGCUUCUUGCACCCCACGUGGAGCCAGGGCUGCACAAGGGGUCCCAAACAGCAUUCUGGGUCAUGCAGCCACCUCGCCCAGGGGGCACCAGGAACUGGCUUAUUUUGCAAGGAAUGUACAGAUGAACCGGUUCUUAAAACGUAGGUUUUCAGGGCCAUUCCGGUGCCUCCGUGGCAUUUGUUUUCAAUCCAAGCUGGACAAAACCAAUAAAAUUACUCAUGUCAGAAUUUUCCGUGAUCUGGGAGCUGCCUUGACCCGAGUGGCAGCAGAUGAUAUGUGUAAGGCAUUGAGCUGCCAUGAGCUGUGCCCAGGGGACAGCCGUGUAGCCGUCCCAGCAGAUCCCACUGGUGUUGUGCCUUUGAAAUGUCCCCUGCUCUGCCAGCCCGACUGUGCUCACCGGGAGCCCUCUUGCCUUGCUCUUUGCCAGCCUGACUUGUGGUUUGGUGCAGGGGUGUGUGGAGAAGACACGGUUGCCUUCUCCUUUUCCUCCUGAUCCAGAGCCAGGCAGCUUGUGGUAUGUGGUGCCUCCUUCCUCUUGGCGCUUUGCUGUCCAUGCUUUUUCAUAGCUGACAGCUGCCGCUUUGGGGCAUCCCUGUCAGGGUUCCCAGCCUUGGAACGGGGUGGGAACUGUUGAGGAAAUGUGCCUUGAGUCUUGUCUGCCCCCAGUCUCACCAGUAGGCUUGCUGGGCACAGCUGGCAGGUUUGGCAGGGUUCACCGGGCUGGCACGUGAGCGUUCCCAUUCAGGGGUCUCUUUGUCCGCUGGCUUUUGCAGGGCUUUGGGCUCCUGGUGCUUAGCCACCUGCCUGCAGAGAGGUUUAAAGGGGAGAGAUCGCCAUUCUCUGCAGAUUCGCAUCAGGAACCGGAGCAGGGAGGGAGCACCUUGCUGUUGGUGAGGCCAGAAAGCGGGGAAUGGCGUGAUGGGUCUGCCAGCUGGGACCGGCACACAUGUUGGCAGGCGAAGGGGUCUGUGGGGCUCGUUGGGGCUGCGGCUGUGGUUCACUGGUGGUGUCUUUUGGACUGGAUGUGCUGCACCUGCUUCCACAGGUCACUUGGUAGGAAACUCUCUGCAUAGCUCGUCCCCCAAGUUUGUAACGUGUCAUUAAAUGUUUGUUCAUAACCAGGAGUCUUCUCCAGCCAGCUCCAUCCUGUUGUAGUCCCAGUGAGGUUAUCUGUUUGGGUCAGGAAAGGAAAGCAAAAAGCUCUGAAAUUCCUGUACAGAGAAAAUUACCAGGAUGUUUCACUGCAGGGGCCGAUGUUUCUGCUGCUGUUUCUUUUGAUGGGCUCAUGAUAGCUUCUUUUUCUUAAAAGACUCCAUUCUGAGGGGUCACGUGGUGCAUUAGAGUCUUGGAUUUUGUUUGGAAAAAGGUGCUUUAAACCUUCACAGGAGGCUCGUGGGGAAGCACUUGGAAUUAGCCAAUUGCUUUAUAGAAAAUAGAAAACCCCCACAGAAGAUUAAGCUGUUUACCUGCUUAAAAACCUUUUAUUUCAGGCUUCCAAGCAUUACUAGUACUAACAACUUUAAAAACAGGCACAGACAGGCAUGGCAGCCCAGAAACUCUGUAUCAUCUGGAUGUGUUCGGCAGAGCUGCCCGAUAGCCGAGUGGAUGUCAGUUCGUGCAGAUACGCCUUGCCAGAGCCUGGGAUCACAGAGGAGGGUGGCCUUGCUCUAAUGAUGCUUGUACAGGAGGGGAGGCUUGUUGCUGUUAUUUUAGCAGUGUUUAGGAGACGUUUUAGUGCUCUUGAGAAUGCCAGAUUGAUCAUAUUCAGCCAUGACGGGCCCUGUGCCAUGCUUACCCACAGCUUUCUCCUGCGCUUGAAUGCUGGCUGUCGGAGAGCGCAGACGGAGCGGCGGUGCUGCCCAGCUGCAUCCCCGCCAAAACACAAGCUGCUCCCAGGCACAGGUCUGGAUCCAAAUCCUGCUGCCUGGAUCCCUUUGAUAAGAGAGAUUAAAGCAGCUGUGGUUUUAGCACUUUGGGUUACUGUGGUGCCUGGAAGGCACCACUGAGAUCAUGACCUCUUUCUCAGCCCUUCUGGUAGCCUGUCGAUGUAAUGAGGCACAUGUUGCUGUUGUGCACUGCAGAUGCAAGUUUUUAUUGGUGUUGCACAUUUCGAGAGUCUUGCAUAUUCUUGAGUGCCAUCUGCUGGCUUUUUUGUUGUUAACUGGUUUCAGUCGUUGGCCAUUUCUACACAGUGUCAGAAACUCUGCACCGGUGGCUGUAAAUAAAAAAACACCUAGCUCGGAGGAAGUUCCACUUACUACCUCCGAAACCUGUGUGGACAAAGGAGAGUGGAAAUAUUGUCUCCACUUCACAGAUGUGAAAUGGAGACAUCUGAUUAAAACUCCUCUACUGUCACUCCUGCUGCCAUUCUGACAGGAGCACCCUCUGGGUCCUGCAAAGUGAUUACACUCAGGUGAUUUCUGUAGGCAAUGGUUUGGGUCAGAAAACAGGUAGAAAAUGCUUUCUUCCUAGAUACCUCUGCAGAGGUGUCUGCAGCCACCUUGGCAGGAGGAGCUUAAUGAACAGCAGGGACCUUACCUCACCUUACUCCCAGGAUAGAUCUCCUGGGAAUCUGCUGGCUCACAGAAUGGUCCCAGCUGUGAGCAAUAAGCAGCUCUGGGAGGUUUCUGUGGCAUACAGGAGGCCAGCCUUGUUGUCCAUCAGCCCUUAGCUCCGCUGUGCUUUCAGCAGUUCAAGCCAGCAGCUGGUCCACUAGAUGAGCAGAGAAGAAGCAGACCUUCAGAAUGGGAAUUGCAUCUCUGAGACACACAUCAGCACCGACGAAUAGCCCUGCUUAUUUCCAGAGUGGGUUUGGACUGGCUUUUCUUCCCCUGGCCCACUGGAAAGUGUUUUACAGCUGCCUCUCUUAAUAGUCAAGUUCUUGGCUUGUUUCUUCCCCCUUAGCAUAUUAAGAGCUGAAGUCUCAUCAUCUCUGAUGGGAACAGAGUCUUUUCUCAAACAGUAUUUCUCUCCUUAAAAAUGAUGGGUGCACUGGAGCUGGGGCUGGCUGUAACAUGCUGUCCCCUAGCCACCUGCAUCGGGGAGCAGUCAGAGCUCUGUGUCCACUGUAAAGCUGGGCAACACGCCCUCCACCUAGCAGUGUGCUGGCAUGAGAGUGGUCCUGGAUCUGUUCCACAUCCCGCUCUCAAGAUGCUCUACUGUAGAGGACACUCCUGCCCAUCAGAUUUUUUCCCUUCCCCAGUGUUCAUUCCUCUCGUUUUAACUAUUGCUGGAGGUGAUUCCUUAAGGUCUUGUCUGUGAGCUUCAUGACGUGCAGCUGUAAGUAUGUAUUUUUGUUCUCCGUCUUGAUUUCAUCCCCAAUUUCUUGCGUUGGUGAUGCUUUGUUUUGUUUCCCUCUGUUCUGUGUGCUGCACAUCAUGUGGUCGUUGUGAACACAAUAAAGGAAUGGAGAGAAAAAAAUUCUCAUGGCUGUGGGCACAGAGCAUGUGCGUGCUGGGGCCUGGAUGGGUGUCCUUUGGUCCUGGGGUUGUCAGGAGGUGGGUUCAAGGCACUCCUGACAAGUCCUUGGCAGUGUGAGUGGGUGGGUGAGUAGUGAAGCUGUUAGUGUUUAGACACCGGGACGUUCACCUGGCACAGAGCAUUGCUGGGCCCUUGGCUGCUCUGAGCCAUGCUCCAGGCAAACCAGAAGAACCUUAAACGCUCCUUCCCUUUCACCUGUGUGGUGAGGACAGAGAUGAGAGCUGGAUCCAGCAAAAGUAGAAAUCCCUGUGUCUACUCCUACUGAAUUUGACAGGGAUUGCUGGCUUCCAGGCUGCUCCCUGAUGUUGUAGAGUUGGGAGAAGCAUCCCUCUGAAGGAGCCCCAUGAAGGAGGGAGCAGGGGAGGUUUGUUGGCACCCCCAGAGCUGGCAGUGUCCAGAAGCCCAGCCAAGGGCUGCGGAAGCAUGAGAUGCCGCCUCUAGCCCUGGCCUGCCAGCUGCUGAGCUGAUGCAGGCAGGCUCAGGGAAGGCAACAGAGGUUGUGGCUGUGGCUUUUGGUACACGUGGAGGUGGGGAUGGCAGCGUACAGGCUCUGAGGCGUUCCCGUGAGUGAGUCGGGAUGGAUUUUAUCCAAGUGGAGGGAACGCAUCAAAGUUGUGUCAGCAUCAGAGAAAGUCUCAAGGGGCUGGGAGCAGAUUAGAUGCCUCUUCUUCAGGAGGUGCCACCAGGCAGAGCAGCGUGAGCCAUGCAGACCUCCUUGUCUGCUACUGCUGCAACUGCUGUUAAGGAGGCAAAAGCAUUGUCCUGUCCCUUGGGAGGGCUGGGCUGGAAAAUGUCGGCUCGCCCACUCCUCAUCAUUGCCACUCUGCCUUCCCUCUCUGCAAUUACAGUUGCACUUGUAAUUAACACUGAUGUUAUAAUUGAAGCCAAGCGGUUCCUUGCAAUCAGAUUUUAUUUUUACCAUGUAGGCUAACAAUAAGAUGUGCUGGCCCCGCUGGAGAGCUGAGAUGUUAACAAUUACUGUGCUAAGUAAAGCAAGGCUGACAUGAAAGAGAGGGGAUGGCUGCUUGUCACGUGCUGACGUCAGGAAUCCUGCAUGCCAUCCCUGUUACGCAGGGACCUCAGUACCAGGAGGAUGGGGAUUUCUGUAGGGAGAUUGAAAUGAGGAUCUUCCUUGACCCAUUUUUGGCCACUGGCUUCUCAGAUGAUGUUCUGAGCGGCUUAAAAUAAAAUAACCUGACUUUGGCAAAUGGGGGAGCUCUUCUUGGCUGGAGUCUUUCUUUGCCUGGCUCUUUGGGUCUGUUCUUUACCUGACUUCAUAUUUUCGAGUGUUUCAUAUCCUCCCCCAACCCAGCCUCACCGUAAUGCCUACCGUGUUAGCGGAAGGGGUUGCAGUGUUUGGCUGCUCCUACCUUGCCCUCUGCAUCUGGAGUUGUUCACAGGAUGUCUCCCAUCAUGGCCACACAGCUGGAUCUGUGAAGGAACUUCUGCCCAGGCCCCUAGGUGGUAUUUCAGGAGCAAGGGAGAAGGGACCCAGAAGGGAUUUGUGCUGCUCUAACCAGCAGUUGCUGCCACCCAGGGCUGCGGCGGACAUACAAGCUCGCUGUGCCCUCCUGGACACCUGAGAGCUUAGAAGCUGGAGGCCAGGGUGAGACGAGGUUUCCUGAGGCUUAUUUCGUGUUCUUCAUACAUGUAGGGGGAGGAGUUGGGAUGCAGAAGGGCUGCAGCUCAUGUAGAGGAGUAUUCGGGCAGAGCAGCAAAAGCAGGUCCUGAUGGGAAGGACUGGAAAUAGGGUCUCUGGGCCCUGGCAGCACGUGGCGUGGAGGGAGAGCUGUCCUGGGCUCCCACUUGGUGCCUGUAUUGCUCUCUUUGGGUGAUCCUUCAGGCAGGGCCGCUGGAGGUGGGUGUUGGGUAACAGCACAGGUUGGAAAUGGCAGUGUCUUACGUAAAUGCCAGAAAUUGUAGGGGCUUGAGCGUAUAAAAAGGGGGGUUGCCUUUUAAUUUAUUUGGCCAGCACCAUGAGGUUGUAACUUCUUUCCAGAAUGCAUUUCCCUAUAGGUGUGGAAAACAGGACCUUUAUAGUCAACUGAAGCAGUGAGUUGUAAUGAUGGUCAUAGACGAUCAUUUUCAUUAUGAGCUGCUUUUUCCCCCUCUGCAGUCGGUUGGACUCUGCUGCAGUGAGGCAAGCAUGCAAGUGUGGCCAGACCUCCUUGCAGAAGCAAGACUCUCCUUGUUUUCCACUGUUUUUUUGGCUCCUACCUUUGAUGCAGAGGGAUAGACUCAUGUGCUUGAGUUGGCUGAAACCUGCCUGGCCGCUCUUCAGCAGGCUGAUGAAAACCAGCCUCCUUAUGCAGUGUAUGCACAGGUGGUGGUGGGGAAGUCGGGAAGGGGGGGAAAUAUGAAAAACAUCUUGCUGAGUAGGUGGAAUCAGAGACUCGAUGUGUGGGCAUCCUCCCUGUGCCAGAGCUCGCUGUGACACCUAGCAGUGAGCUGGGGCUGUUUGGGCUGGACGGUGCGGCCAGUUGGUCGUUGGGGGAGUUGGGCAGCCACCAUGCAAGUCCCCCCGGAGAGCUGACAGCAUCAGCCAGCCCACUGCACUGGAGACAAGGGUGUCCUUCACCCUGGCACCAUCCUCUAACCUGAGGGCUCACGGUAGCAGACUGGCCUCGCCACAUGUUUGGCUGGAUGCAAGAGCCUUGUGCCUUCUAAUUUUAAAGAGGUGCAGCACUUGCAGCCCAGCUCUGAGGCUCAAACUGCCAGAAGGAGAGAAAACUGGGAGAGGCCUUUUUUUGUAACAGGUUUUUCUGAGCUCUGUUUGGUUUUGGUAAGGGGAGGAAAAGGUGUAGGAGCUGACAGUGUACAAGUGAAAGAGUAAAAAGCAUCUGGGCAAGAUGCAGUGAUACAGAGGGAUGGCAGUGUCCUCCAGAGUCUGAAGUCCUGAGAAAGGAAAUCCAUCAGAGCUCUGCUUCGUCAGGCUCUGGCUGGCCUGGGAGGGCACCAACUCCGAGCAGGGUCUGCCCUGUGGGAUGGAACGUGUUCGGUGGGGAGCUGGGACAGAGGUGCUGCUGCCUCCCCAGGGAAUCGUGCCUUGGAGGCUCAGCAGUCCCUGCUGAGCCCUGCUCUUUCCUGUGCCUAGAGAUGGUAAAAGGUGGAAGCUUUCAGUUCGUCCAAAUCACAAGUACGUAGCAUGCCAUGUCUUUGUCACUAAUAGCCGAGAAGCUGCUAUUCCUUGUGUCUCUGCUUUGGGUGAUCUUGCCAGCGUGCACGGUGUGAGCGGUGGGGUGAAGCCAUUCCCCUGGCACGUACCCAGCUGCACGCAGGGGAAGCUUUGUCCAGCAAUGGGUAGGGGUGCUAAAUAGCUAAUCCUUCUUCCUUGAGGCAAAGCUGCCCACUGAAUGCAGGGCUCUGGAGUGCCGUGCUAAUGGCUUAACUGCACUAUUUCUUUGCUCUGUCCUUGAAAAAAAAGAGACAAAAUCGGCAUUAAUUCUUUCUUGGCAUUUAUAGAGCACUUGAAAACCACCAGAGCCCUAGCCGACAUGCAGAUUGAGGACAACAGUGAGGUCACUGGGAGAGAAGUGAAAUCUGCCCGUGGUUUUGUGAUGACACAGGACUCGGCUUAGCUGAGAGAGGCUACACAUAAGCAUCAAAAAUUUUAGAGAAACCAGAGCAUCUUCCAGCUUUCUCUUUUGAUCUAAAAAUAUAUGUAAACUGUUUGGCAUCUCAAGGCAAUCUUCAGUUGCUGGUGAGUUCAGGGAAUCUGUAUUUGCUUCCUAGGGGAAUUUUAGCAUUUGCUGGAAUACUUGCUGUCAGCCGCAAUUUCCAUUGCUCUAUUGGCUUUAUUUAUGUCAUAUUGGCUGCAGUUGUCAAUGUGAACGUUUCUGCUAUUCCAACCGGAAUAAAGGCUUUUGUAUACUCAGCCAAAAGGGCUGGCUCUGGGGAAUAUUCCUGAAAAUGCAUACGCAGGCGCGUGUGCAUCUAGGCAGAGACAGCCUGGAUUGCAUGAGCUGGUGAUGGCGGGGCCAAGAGGAUGUGACAGAUGGCUUCUCCUGGAGCUCCUUCACUGCGGUGUGGAGAGGCAGGAAAAGGGCCGACUCUGAACUCUCUGCAGCUCUUAAUUUUCUGCUUCCCCUUUGCCUUUGAUGUGCUUCCUCUUAUCUCUUUCUCUCUUGGUUCAAUUUAGAGCAGCUCAGAGAGUGUGUAGAUCUAAUUUUAGAUGAACCUGCUUCUGGCCUGAGAUUUCACACGUUUGGUCUUCACGGGAAUGCGCGGCGCCCCGCGAGAGCUGGCAGGCACUGUACGGUGGGCAGCUCGGGGGAUCGGUGCUGCUGCACACAGGUGCUUUUUAAUUCUCAGUUGCUAGUUUGAAUCCAGCCCAAGGUGCUUUUGAUGCCAGCCUUUUUAGCAGGGCUCAGCAAACGGUGGGUUGGCCAAUCGACUCCGUCUGCUAGCAGAGAAGUGUUUCCUUCCCAGCGACCCCAGGGCCAGAACACCAAUUCAACAUUUCUUCUUGGCAGCAAUUUAGGGAAUAAGGUGGAAAACUUCUCCCUCCUUAGUAAAUGUAGUUGCAGGUCAGGAAAUGAGGGGUUUUUGGGAGGAUGGUGUGGAUUAAGUGUGUGUUACUAUUCCUCAUGUCUCUCCACUGUGCAGGAAGAGAUCUCCAAGGUUGCCCUGGAGGGUAACAGAGGCAGAGACGUGUACUGGAGACUUGAUAGCUAAUCUAGAUCUAAUAGUGCUGCAUGUUGACCCUGGCCCUCUCACCGAUGCACGGCAUGACAUCAGUCAGCAUUUUUAAAUGAGAUGAUUGGGUAGACCAAGUGUCGGUCUCAUUUGGCAUAGGAAAACUUUUUUUUCUGAGAGUACAGAUGGCAUUUUAAGAAAAUAUAUCCCCAAACUUGGUGUUACUAGUGAUAGUGCAAAAAAAUGUUGUGGUACCAGGCACUGUGAAAUUACUGGCUGCAUUUCUGGUGUGAGCCCUGACGUUGGAUCAGGAGAGAAUCUUCUGCCACUGUCAGCGUACACAGUGAAGUGGAGGAUCUCUUGAGGUGUUUACAAGAGACAAAGCAUGGUGCAGCUACUGAAGUGGAUGGCAGCGCUGCCCUGAAUUUCAGUGGGAAUGGAGUUAGGCACCACUCAACACUACUGGAGGUGCUUUCCCUGGUUUGGUCAGAUUAGCUGAUGUGGUUCAUCAGUCCUAAAUCUGCCACUGAAUAACAGCAAAAACCCAAAGUGAGGAGGAAAAGGCAGUUGCAGGAUAUGCAGAUGUAAUUUAAUUUUUAGAAAGGAAAAAAUCCUCACCGUAAGAUACAGAAGUGUUAUGUAUUUAUAGUGAUCAGUCAGCUUUGCAGUGCUUGUUUUGUGCUUGACCAGCUUAUUCUUUGCAUUUCUUAUGCAGCCUGAUGGAAGACGUUGGGGUUUAUGUGUUCAGUUGUUAAAAUUACCUUGCCAGCAAUUUUGAUCUGGCUGAAUAAACAGAGGUAAAAUGCUGGUGUGGAAAUGGAACAAAUGUUGCAUGUCCAACCCUGUUAUUUUUAAUCCUCAAAUAGUUAGUUGUACAAAUAAGUCCAGUUGUGGUAUCCCUUUAUAGCGGGGAUUAAAAAAAAAUGGCCUGUGCUGAGAUGAAAAUUUCUUGCUAGACUGUCACACAGAGGUUUGCUUGAGGCUUUGCUGGCUACUCCAGCUGUGGAGAGAGUAUUUUCACCAAACGGUGUCAUGUCACAAUAUGUUUUCAUCUUGCAACAGCGCUUUUAAGGCCAGUUAUUUUCAGCUGCUCUGUUGUUGAAGAGGUAACAGAUGUCUACAGGUAAAGCACAGCCCUUGUGUUUGUUAAUUUUUCUUCCCCAAGCAAAAAAUGGGCUUGUCAGCCAUUAACAUCACUAGAAUUCCCAUCUUGUUAAGAAAUUGUUCUCUCCUUUAUCUUGCUUCCUGAUCCUUGAACUGCUAGAUACACAGUGUGUGUGCAAACAUGUAUAAGCCUUUGCCAAAUGUAGCUUCAAGCACUCCCACCUGGGGCUGGGAACGUGUCAGAUCUUGUAGGCUAAACAGUGUUGGAAAUGUCAUCACCCAGCAGUGAGACCUCCAGCAGACCCAGGGCGCCGUAUGCUUCUGAAGCUGUCAUCAAAACGAUGGCAGUAGGAGAGCUAAGGUUUUUCCACGAUAGCAACUGGAAGCCAAAGACACCGCUCAAGGAACACCUACCUCCCUGAUAGAAAAUAACGCCGCAGGUUGGUUGUGAGCGGGGUUUUGCAUGGGAAGCAGCUGUGGGCUGAGGCUGUGACACAGCUUGGGAGAAAGGCAGCCGCAACCAGAAAUCAGACUGACUCUGACAAGAGGCUCAAACGGGGUGUGUUUUUUGUGGCUGGAGUAUGCAGGGUUUUUUCCCACCUUGUUUCUCACCACAGUGAGCACACUGGAAGUUUUUCUGGUGUAUGCCUCAUUGUUGGUGCUCCUGGUUUUCUGUGCUGGCUUGUGACCCUUCCAUCUGCCAGAGCGCCAGCCGAGGGGGAUGCCGUGGGGAGGCAGGAGGCACUCGGCAGUCUGAAGAGGGAUCUGGCAGCCCCAGCUGGGGGUCCUCUACUUGCUGGCCUGAGGCCAUGGAACAGCAGCUGCCAGUAUCUGUGUUAGGGCUAUAGCUGUCAGUGAUAGUGGCCAGUCCUAGGAGAGAGCAAUGCUCGUGCAGCUUGUUCUGAGCUCUGCGCUGGGCUUUGCACCAGAACAGGAGUAAAUGAGGCUGAUGUCCUCAGAAUGAGACCCUUACCCUUGGUGGCUGUCUUGAUCCAAGAUCUGUAUCUCUCCUGGUAAGAACAAGCCUGAUAACAACUCUGGGGCAGCCUCCAGCCUUGGUAAUUGCUUUUCACGUACUCUGUGCAAGGUACCAAUGCCAAGUCCACCAGUGUACAGACACUGCUAGUGCAACAGUAACUGGGCUGUGUCCUCUUUUUUUUCCCUUCAUAAUUUUUUUUGUCUUCUCUGAAUAGCAACUUAUCUUACCCCUUUUGGGAUAAAAUGUGGGGCUAGGUGAGCCACCAUUCUCAUCUCGUGAGGCAUGUCAUCUGUCGUGUUUGGAGUGGUGAGCACCUUCCCCUGUGCGUUUUUUCCCAUUGUUGAUACUGGUGAGACAGCAGUGGUCUGGGAGUUCCUACCUUGCUUUCUGGUGCUUGUACAUCCCCAUGUUGGCUGACCUAAGAUGACUUGAAAGUGAGUCGGUGAUAUGCUGUGUCAGGACCAGAAGAACUUUGGUUGCAUUUCGUAACAUGCAAAAAAAGCUCAAAUGUCCAUGAAACUUGUCUAGUCCCAAAGCCUGUUUGGAAAAGGGCUGCGGUGGGAUCUGUGUCUGGUACAGCUCACCCAGACCAAACUGUGACAAUGACAGCUCUCCAGGCUCGUGUCACGUUCAAAGUAGUCACCUUGCUGUGGUUCAAUGUAGUGUCCAAAUCCCGUGCUUCUGCAAGGGACUGUGAGGAUUUUAGUUACGUAUGAGAGAGAUGCCAGCAAUGGGACCGGCCAGGGCUGAUUCCCUUCCCAGCUCCCGGCCCUGCUAUCCCUCCUCUCCUCACCACCCCUGCACGGGCAGGGAUUGCAGGCACUGGCUGUGAGUCGGUUCCAGGCUCCGCGUGUCACCACCCCACAGAAACGGUCGUGUGACAUUAAUUUGUAUUUUAAAGAUGUUUUAUAUAUUGACAGUAGCGCCAUUGUGAGUGUGCAACGGAAUUUGUUUCACCGCUAUUGUUUUUGUGUCUGAUGUUUUAUCCCUUGGAGAUAAUUGUGGUUUGCAAUGUUUGGCGUUAGUAACGUGCAGAUAGUUGCUAUUCAACACAGUGACUCCUUGUAAUCUGCGCCUAAGAAGGAUGCCCAGUCAUCUCUUCUCUUUCAGGAGCCAGCAUGUUGUUCAGAUGUGCAGAAUGAACCCAAUGCUUGUUGGGCUUCUUGUUUUGGUUGAUUGGGGUUUUUUUUAUAACCAGAUUAAAUGUCAAAAGCAAUCUGGAAUCUGCUGGAUUCACAAACAGUAAAUACAUAUCAUGUUUCUAAUGUCGUCCCAGGUUUCAGAAACAGAAGAAGUUCUAAUUGUGAUAUUCAGCAUACAACAGAGUUGAAAUUUCUUGAGGGAGAGAUCUGCUCCAGCUUAAGCAACCACUUAGAGCAGAGGAUGAUUUCCUGGUGCCUGUGAAGAAGCUACAGACUGGCAGUUAUUUCUCCAUGAGGUCACUCCCCUGGACACUAAUGUUUUCAGAAGAGCUUGGUUCUGGGCAUACUAAAGGUUUACUGGAAAUCCAACCAUGGGGAUAACGAGCUGUUCUGAAAAAGAUGGCUCACGUGUUUUAUGCUGUUGGUCUCCCAUCCCAUCCAUUUUUAAAUUAUUUGCCUGGUGUAGUUUUCAUUGCUUCUCUUUGACAGUGAGAUGAUACCUCUGUGCCUGGCUGUUCAAAAUCACACUGAUGUCUUGCUGCCUUAUCGUAUUCCACACUGAGAAUAUUUUAUGAGCUGUUGGUGAUCUUGCUUGCAGGCUUCUGUUUCCCCAAGCAUCUUGUCCUCAUUGCAGAUCCCUGUCUGCAGUUAUCACCUCCCUGAACUACAUUUCUUUCCUUUUUUCUAUCCAGGCAGAUCUUUUUGAGCCUUACUUUCCCUGUUUCUGCAUGGAUCCUUUUGUAUUUCUUAGCUCUCCCACUGCUGCUCCAAAUCUAACAUCAUCUGCAGUUGUAAUUAAUAUUCUAUUUGCCUUUGUUUCAGAUCAUUAAUAAGGAUGUUGAAUAAAAGUCUUCUGCCUAUUGA